CUUCAAGCUUCCAGGGAGUGGGUCUGACAUUGUCCGGGGCUCACAUUUGGCCCAUGGAGCUCUUUCCUUUCCCACGGGGCUGGGUACAGCUUGUGAGUUUGUGAUACUCUGUGUCUUGGGACAGAUUGCUCUCUCUCUCUCUCUGCUCAUUUUUUUCUUCACCGGUAAAGCCAGUGGGCUAAAAAUAAACUCGUGCAUUUCAAUUUUUUUAUUAAGUAAUGAAAUCUUAGGCAAUAGCCUGAUAUGUCAGACAGGUAAAAGUAGUUCUGCUCUAGGUAGCUAAUAAGGACCUGCUGUGUAGCACAAGGAACUCUACUCAGUACUCUAUAACGGCCUAUAUGGGAAAAGAAUCUAAAAAAAAAAAGGACAUAUGUUUAUAUACAACUGAUUCACUUUGCUGUACACCUAAAACCAACACAACACUGUAAAUCAACUAUACUCCAAUAAUUUUUUUUUUAAUGUAGUUCUGCUCUGGUUGAAGGCAGAAAUGGACUGGGAAUCUGGAGAUCUGCCCUUUUGGCUUUCUUUCUGUCUCCUUAAGGCUCCUCUAUGAAACUCCCAUAGAAGCCUGUGUGAACGUCACUGGUGUGGAAAGUCUCGAAGAUUCAUUACAAGAAGCUGCUGUCUGAGAACUGAAGCCAGGAGUGGGGAGAGAUGACCUACUGGAUCAACCCCAGAAGAGAGAUGGCUCUGUCAUUCACUGAGAAAGGAGAUAAAGAACAGGGAUGAAGCAGAGGAAGAAGAAGGAGAGGAGGAUGAGGAAGGCCAUGAGGAGAAGGGAAAUCUCUGAUCUAUAAUUUUAGCCACAUUUUCAGUCACUUGAAGAAGUCAGGGUCUUGGCACUUAUUCUCCCCUUGCCUGGAACACUCCUUCCCCAGCCCUUCUCACUGACUCAUCAUUCAUUUUUUCCCCAAAAUUGACCUCCUCCAAAGGCCUACCCUGACCACCCUAUCAGUAAAUAAUUCUCCCAUUACCUUCUCAAGUCA